rnacentral:misc_RNA from 1 species
CACAUUACUGUUUUACAAUGAGAUCUAUCGAUUAAAAAUAUUUUCAAUAUGGCGGCACUUCCGGUAAUACCGGAAGUUGUCAGCAACUCUCUUAUUUUAAAUUGGUAUCCUCAUUUUUUAUUACAUAUUUAAAUUCUCUGUAAAAUUUAAUGAAUUUUGAUACCAAACACUCUAUACCUAACAUUAACCGUUUUUUAGAAAAAAAAAUAUUUAAAAUUUUUGGGAGAAAAAAACUGCCUGUCAAAAAAAUCUGUAUAACCUAAACGACUAAUUUAUAUAGUUGUCGUAGUCACAUAGUGUAUUCUGUUUUUUCGUGAAGAUCCUAGUAACUUCAUGAAGCGUCGCGUCGGUUGGGUUAGCACAAGCAUCUCAAAACAGAAGAGAUUCCAUCGAUGUUGCCAUAUUGCAAUAUUACAUGUCAAUCUGCGUCAAUUGUCAUUACUGUCAUUAGUUUUGGAGGUUAUAUUUUAGAAGAUUUGCCGCCUAUUUUGAUUCGUUGAAGACCGAUAAAGGACGAUUUGUCUAUGAGGGCGAUUAUUUACUUUAUCAGCUUUGACAAUUAAAAUUUUAAUUUCUCUUUGAUUUAGAUUGUUGUUACUUAUUGAUGAAUUGUAAAAUCAUGAAUACUUGCAACAAGUGUUUGAAAACAUUUUCCAAUAUAGGAAAUUUGAAUAAACAUUUAAAGAUGGUGCAUAAAGAUAAUGCUAUUUUAGUAUAUGAAAAGGAUGAAAAAUCCUUUCAGUGCUUAGAAGGGUGUAAUAUUUCUUUUAGGUCUAAUAAGGAUUUAAUAACUCAUUUAUGUACAGUACAUAAUUUAAAAAUGGAAACUGAAGAGUUACAUUUCCCUAAUAUUGAAGAAUUCCAUAUAUUUUUAAAUAACCUUCAUAUUUCCCAGAACGUUGAAUAUGUCCAAACUUGUGGAAAGCAAGAGAAAAAAAUUAUUGUUAUGAAUGAGAAUGGGUUGUGUGAAGAGGUUAUUGAAAUUAUAUAUUUGAAAUGUAAUCGUAGUGGAAAUUAUAUAAAACCAUCAGUGCCUCGUCAAAGAGCAAUUAAGCUAACAGGGUCAUGUAAACUGAAUAGAAGUUGCACAAGUGAAAUCAAGGUUGUUUCUAAUAAGAGCACAUUGAAGGUUUCUGCUACGUUUUUAAAAUCACAUUAUGGACAUGAUUCUGAAAUACAACAUUUAAGAUUACCCAAGACUGAAAAGGCUGAUAUUGCUCAGAAACUUGCAAGUGGCAUUAGUAUAAGUCAAAUUCUUAGUAUGAAUAGGGAUAACUUUAAUCCUGAAAACCUUAACAGAACUAAUUUAUUAAGACGUAGUGAUAUACAUAAUAUUAAACGUUCAUUCAAUAUUGAAAUAUAUGAGGGUGUAAGACAUACAGAAGAUGCUGUUAGUGUAGAUAUGUUUGUUCAGGAAUGUUCAAACCUGGAAAGCAAUCCUAUAAUAUUUUAUAAACCACAGGGAGUUGAAAAUGAAGGUGUUUUAAAAAAGGAGGAUUUUUGCAUCAUUAUAAUGAACAGAGUGCAACAAGACAUAUUGAAAAUGUUUGCGGAAAACAUAGUUGCAAUAGACAGUACUCAUGGAAUGAAUGCUUACGAUUUUGAACUAACAACACUUUUAGUGGUGGAUGAGUGGGGUGAAGGAUUUCCUGGAGCAUGUAUGUUAACAAACCGUAAAGAUACAUUAGUUUUUCAAUUGCUGUUUAAAAAUAUUAGAGAUAAUAUUGGUAUUUUAAAACCAAAGGUUUUUAUGUCUGAUAUUACACAUGUCUUUUAUAAUGCUUGGAAACAAGAAAUGGGUGAAGUGCCAUCACAACUAUAUUGUGCAUGGCACGUAGAUCGUGCAUGGCGUUCUAAUUUAAGUAAAGUAAAUUCACCAGAACUUAAAACUUUAGUCUAUCAGUCGUUAAAAGUAUUACAGACAACAAAUUCUAAAGAAGAAUUUCAUGAAUUAUUAACAAAGAGUAUAAAUGAUUGGGGUAAGAAUGAAGCAACUGUUAAUUUUGGACAAUAUUUUGCAGGAAAUUAUUUAUCAAAUUAUAUGCAAUGGGCAUAUUGCUAUCGCUUAAAUUGUGGAAUUAAUACUAAUAUGCGUUUAGAAAAUAUGCACAAAGUGUUAAAACAUAUAUAUUUAGACGGCAAAAAGGUAAAAAGAUUAGAUAAAUGUUUAAAUGCUUUAAAUUUGUUUAUUAGAGAUAAAGCACUCGAAAGAGUAAUCAAGAAAAUUAAAGGCAAAAAUUCAAUCCAUUUAAAAACAAUUAAAUCAAGACAUGAUAUUGCAGUAAAAAGUAAUUGUGAAGUUAGAGAUAUUAUAGAUGAAAAUGAUAGUGCUACCUAUAAAUGGUCUGUAUCUAGUUGUUCAGAGUUAGACAGUAAUUAUAUAGUUUGUAAAAAUGAAGUUGAAAAUUGUUGCAGCCUAAUAUGCUCACAGUGUGAUAUAUGUAUUCAUUCCUAUAGUUGCACUUGCCCAGAUUUUCUAAUACAACAUACUAUUUGCAAGCAUAUUCAUGUGAUAAUAAUUAAAAAAAAUAAUUUGCUUCAACAUAAAAGUACUGAAAAUCCUGGAGCAUCUCUAACAGAAUAUAUAAAUAGUCUUAAAGGGGAGCAGUCCUAUCAAAGCAAUGAUACAUUAAUGCAAAUAAUAUCCUCUGAAACGUUAAAACUACAGAAUAACCUGUUAAAAAAUCCAAACAGAACUCUCUUAAAACAUGUUGCAAGUUGCUUGAAAAAAGAAAAUAGUUUUAUUGAGGCCACUACUUCAAAUAAUAUAAAUUUUACCAAGCUACCUAAAUCUGAAGCAGAACCAGCUAAUAAGAAAAUUGAAAAACAAAUUAGGUUCUUUUCCACAAAGAAAAAGCGUACAUUGAAAAAGACUAAAAUUUCCAAGCCAGAUAAAGAUGAAACCAAAUUUAUUAAGAAUUUUAUUCAUGGAAAAUGUGAAUUUAUUUCUAAUGAUCAAGCUAUAGACCACGAUUAUUGUAGAAGUGUGAAUUAAUUUAAUUUCUUUUAGCUUCACUUUUUUAAACAUACAUAUAAAGUAUAGCACAAAUAUGUAACCAUAUAAUAAUAUAAUAUAUACCGUGCUUUUUUAUUUUAACUAUGAACAUAGGUCUUGACAUUGCAAUGUUAUUUUGCAACGUCAUGAGAUUUUGAAGUAAGUACUCUUUUAAGUGUAUACUUAAUUCAGUAUGUAAUAUUAAGUAUCCAAAAAGAUACCCCAUAAUUGAUAUAUAAAUGUUAAAAGGAUCAUUCAGCAAUUGAGAAACUGAUUCACAAUCUUUCAGUUUUGUUAAUAUUUUAAUUUCAUACAUGCCCCGCUCAUCUCUAGAAAUUGUGAUAGUAAAGGAGAGUAUAUCUAAUAAAAUUAAGUUUCUGUUAUACAUUUAUACUCAGUUUCAGGUUCAGAUUCAUGGAUCGUUAUAUAUAACCACAAAAUGAUUAAUCUAAAAAAUGGAGAGUAUAUCUGUCUAAUAAAUCAUAUUUUUUUUAUAUUAUACCAAGUUUUAGAUUCAAGUUAAUGAAAUUUCAGCCACAAAGUGAUGUAUUUAUAUCUAAUAAAAGUGGAGAAUAUUAUUUAAUUUUUGCUAACACAUUUUUGGUAUAGAAUUAUAUCAUACUUCAAGAUUUAUGGAAUGUAGAUACAAAAUAAGUGUAUAUUUUAAAAAAGGAAGUAUUUCUAUCUAAUAAAUCACUUUUUUGUAAUACAAAAUUUAUACCAAAUUUCAGAUGUGGGUCAGAAAAUGAUGGGUCAUUAAUAUAAAAUGGAGAGUAUAUCUAUAAAAUAUGCAUUUUUUUACUAUGUAGUAUAUAUUAUACCAAAUUUGAGGUUUAGAAUAAUUAGUUAUCACAGAUAUCCAUUUUUAUAUAUGCCUAUCCCAGGUACAAUUUGCAUACUAUUGGCUACGUUCUAGACUUAUUUAGAAUCAAAGAAUACUUCAAGAUAUAUGUACAUAUAAUACACAUAUAAUAUUUUGAUUGCUGAUAAAAA